rnacentral:rRNA from 1 species
UACGGGGGGGGCAAGCGUUGUUCGGAAUUACUGGGCGUAAAGGGCUCGUAGGUGGCCAACUAAGUCAUACGUGAAAUCCCUCGGCUUAACCGGGGAACUGCGUCUGAUACUGGAUGGCUUGAGUUUGGGAGAGGGAUGCGGAAUUCCAGGUGUAGCGGUGAAAUGCGUAGAUAUCGGGAGGAACACCUAUGGCGAAGGCAGCUCGCUGGGACGUUACUGACGCUGAGACGCGAAAGCGUGGGGAGCAAACAGG